ACAAACAGUUUUAUAUUGUAUUUUAUUCAACAAACACUUUUUUAAGUACAAGAUGCGUGUUACACUGGAAAAUGGAGUGUCAGGGCAGUUCAUCGAACAAUUACAUGAGUAUUGAUCCCUAGCGGAUCCAUGGGAACUUAACUACAUCGCCAUAAAAUCGUCCAAAUUUUUAUUUCAAUACAAGAGAAAAUCAAAGCACUGAAAGUGCUGAGGGACGGUGCCUCUGGUGUAUGUGCAGAAAAUUAUACAGGGAGAGCUGCCUGGUUUCAAAAUCGUGUCGUUGUUAUCAACUAUUGACAGUGUGGUUAUUUAAAGAGCCAACUUUCGUCAUGCAUGACUAUUUUUUUAUGAAUGAAUGUUAAGCAAGCGAUCACUUCGUACGAAGUUGCAUACGAAGAUUUCUGCGACCGUUUUAUUAACGCUUUCGUACGUAAUUACUCUUCAAAAUGGGGAAGGAUUGGACGAAAAUGUACAAAAACCGCAGAAGCAAUCUUUUGAAAGAAAAGCUCAGUCAUCCGAGAUGCAGUGUUGCAGCACUGAAAAGCAUUGGGUGCCCAUCAAAGAGUGUUUCUCUUUGCCUGCAAUCAGGAUACAUCAACUGACCUUUGAACUGUGUUUUCCAACUUAGGAUUCAAACACAUGCCCUCUUGGGUAGGAGAAAGUCAGACAAACACCUGUGGCUAUAUCACUAUACUUCUUCAAGUCUUGCUCUAUGAGUGAUCAUGAUGUGAAAUAAAACAAAAUGCAGUCAUCUUUUUGUUAUAUUAAAUAAGUUAUGAACAAAUAAAAUAUU